rnacentral:rRNA from 1 species
AAUGAACGCUGGCGGCAGGCCUAACACAUGCAAGUCGAACGGACCCUUCGGGGUUAGUGGCGGACGGGUGAGUAACGCGUGGGAACGUGCCCUUUGGUUCGGAAUAGCCUCGGGAAACUGGGAGUAAUACCGGAUAAGCCCUUCGGGGGAAAGAUUUAUCGCCAAAGGAUCGGCCCGCGUUGGAUUAGGUAGUUGGUGGGGUAAUGGCCUACCAAGCCGACGAUCCAUAGCUGGUUUGAGAGGAUGAUCAGCCACACUGGGACUGAGACACGGCCCAGACUCCUACGGGAGGCAGCAGUGGUGAAUCUUAGACAAUGGGGGAAACCCUGAUCUAGCCAUGCCGCGUGAUCGAUGAAGGCCUUAGGGUUGUAAAGAUCUUUCAGUUGGGAAGAUAAUGACGGUACCAACAGAAGAAGCCCCGGCUAACUCCGUGCCAGCAGCCGCGGUAA